UACGUAGGGUGCAAGCGUUGUCCGGAUUCACUGGGCGUAAAGCGCGUGUAGGCGGCCUCUCAAGUCGGGUGUGAAAGCCCGGGGCUCAACCCCGGGAUGCCGCUCGAAACUGGGAGGCUUGAGGACGGAAGAGGGGAGUGGAAUUCCUGGUGUAGCGGUGAAAUGCGUAGAGAUCAGGAGGAACACCCGUGGCGAAGGCGGCUCCCUGGUCCGUUACUGACGCUGAGACGCGAAAGCGCGGGGAGCGAACGGG
rnacentral:rRNA from 1 species